rnacentral:rRNA from 1 species
UACAGGGGGCUCGAGCGUUAGUCGGAAUCACUGGGCUUAAAGGGUGCGUAGGCGGCUCGUCAAGUGCUUUGUGAAAUCCCACAGCUCAACUGUGGAACAGCAGGGCAAACUGACGAGCUUGAGGCAGGUAGGGGCCGGAAGAACAGUAGGUGGAGCGGUGAAAUGCGUAGAUAUCUACUGGAAUGCCGAUGGGGAAGCCGUCCGGCUGGGCCUGUCCUGACGCUGAGGCACGAAAGCGUGGGGAGCGAACAGG